rnacentral:misc_RNA from 1 species
UAAUUGAUGUUCUAAUCCCAAUAUUUUUGAGAUGCAAUUUUCUUUUAUAUCAGUUGAGAUCCGUGGUUCUCUUACAAGAUUUGCUGCUACGGUACGAGCGAACUUCAUUCUUGGUAUUUUUUGGCAGAAGUUGUCCCGGAGUUAAUUCCAGCCCCCUCUUAUUUGAAACAAUUGACAAUUUUUACUGCGGAGAUCCUUGAACAGA